GACUAAGAGCCCCCUACCCUGACACUGACCAAUUGUAGGACACUAUUUCAAAGUGAAGAGUUCAAAUAAGAAUAUCUAGAAGAUACCAAAAAAGCCGAAUGAAAAGGUAUCAAUUUCACUCUGUCUCCAAAUUUAGAAAAGGACUUGUUCCCUCAGU